GCUAUCUCAUUUAAUCAAGCAGAACUCAGUAAUGCUUUGCAUUAAGUUCCUGCAAUGGUGCAUUUAAUUGACACUAUUAACCAGCAGUGGUCUAGUUAAAUAAAUAUCAAUGUCUUCAAAACCAACAUGGGUUCUGUGGACACUGGAGCCACUAGAGUGGGAGGAGCUGAAGCUUUCUCACUGUAUCUGAUUCCUUGGGCAGGGAGAAUUAAUUAACCGAUAAAAAUGCAGUUUUGCCAUAUUCCCAGCUCAUUUGACACAUGCAUACCAUCAGAUCCAGCCUCUGUUCUGAUUCCAUGAGAGUGCUUCACAGCUGCAGAUUUACAAUACAGCUAGGCUUUAUUCUGGCCUUUUCCAGGAACUGAAGUGAGCUGUCUUUUUUGUAAACCGGAUUUCAAGAUGCAUCAGUGGCCAGAGCUAGAGAAGGAGCCAAGGGAAGGAAAGACAUUUUCCAUGCAGAACCAGCCUCCCACUUUCACAUGCCAGCUCUCAUCCUUUUGUUUUCAGAGCACUGUGGAGUUGAUUUUAGUCAUGUCUACACUACGGGUCCUGCAGCAGCACUGCAGUUAUGCCACAGGAGUGCCAUAGUGUAGGUGCUUUCUACAGUGAUGGAAAGGGGUAAGCCACCUCCCUUGAGUGGCAGUAGCUAGGUUGUUGAAGAACUUUUCUGCUGACUCAGCUGUGUCUACACAGGGAGUGAGGUUAGGUCCAUCUACUGGACUAGUGGUUUCAAGAUAGUGGGUAAAAUUUUCAAAAGUGACUAGUCUACACUACAAAGUUAGGUUGAGCUAGCUACAUCACUCAGGGGUGUGAAAAUUCACACACACCCCCGAAAGAUCCGACCUAAGCCCCGGUGUCGUCACCACGAGGUUAAUGAAGAAUUCUUCCAUCGACCUAGCUACCGCCUCCCGAGGAGGUGAAUUUAUUACAGCAAUGGAAGAACCCCUUCACUACAGCAGUGCAACUGUGCUGCUGUAGCAUUUCUAGUAUAGACAUCCCCUUAGGCACUUAGAGCCCAGAUCUUCAAAGGCAUUAGGUCCCUAACUUCCACUGAAAUCAAUGUGAGUUGGGCACUUAAAUUCAUUUGAGGAUCUGGUCCUAAGAAGCCUUAGUCCCACUGACUUCCAUCAAGACUUUGGCUCCUACAUGCACAAGUCCCUUUUGAAAUUGGAACUUGGGCUCCUAAAUUACUUAGAUGCCUUUGAAAAUUUUACCCUUGCUAAAAUUCACCAUUGAUGAAAGUGAGGAUAACACUUAUGAAUUUGUCACUUAUGAAUUUGACCCACCAAGUAUAAUCCACGAUAUAUCUCUCCUCCCCAGUACAAACUGGAGGACAGUGUAUAUAUAAAGUCUCAUGACUAGAAGAAUUAACAGUUGUGAGGAUUAUACUUUGUGAGAACUCAGAUAUCCCACUUAUUAUUGUUACUCCUCUCCCCUUCCUCCCCACCAAGAACUUCUUGUGACAUUUGCAGGCCUUUUCUUCCUCAUAAAUUAGCUGCUCAGACUCCCAACAAUAUGUGGUAUUAAUUUGGGUCAUCACUAUACAUAUUAGCCUCAUCAUAAAUCAACAAGCAGAACGUAAUGAAAUUGGAUGCAGGAUUGUCUUUGCAGAACUUGGCUGUGAAAACCUAUAGAAUUCCAGGGAGUAUCCUCUGCCAGUAGUAUUCUCUGUAGAAAUGAAUACAACCGUAAGCUGCUAGGACUCCAUGAAUAUUUACUACGUACAUUGCCAUUUUGGUUAUGUGAGAAAGUGAAGUUAAAACAUCAUGAGGGCCAAAUCCUCUGCUGGUUUAAAUUGGAAUAGCUCUAUUAAAGCCAAUGGAGCCAGUUUACACCAGCUGAGGAUGCGGAUCCCUGCCUGUAAAUGUGAGUAAACUUUCAAUUUAAUUUCAGCUACAUUUGUCCUGUUAACUACCUGAAAAAUGUCUUUGUUUCUGUAUUAGAAAAAAAAUCACUGCUUAGUGUUUCCACAAAUUAUGGAAAGCCGGUCAUGGUUCUGUUGUUAGGUUGAGUUUUGCACUUGAAGCAGGAAUUAAAUCACUUUGCUAUGGAUGAAAAAUACAGAAUAUUUUCCCCAUAAUUACAGCCCUUACUCUCUGAGUACAGAAUGAAUAAUAAUUCAGUGUUAUUGCAAGGUUAUUUGCAGUCUUCCUAGAGUUCUUAUUUGAUGUAAUAAGUAGAACGUUAUUAGUAAAGUUCAGCAUAAUUAUAAUUCUUCUGAUGUUAUUCUAAACUGCAGAUCUUUUUUAAGGUGGCAAAAGAGCACUGAAAAACAACUGUUUCUGACCAGAAAACACUACUGUACUGGAUCUAAAAGUCAGAGAGUAAAAUGUCACAUUGCUCAGCUUAUAUAAGAGAGUCCAACGUCCUUUGAUCUAUGCUGAAUAAAAGCCAGCACAUUUCCUUUGUUUGUUUGGUAUUACACAGCUUUAUAUGGAACAUACUAAAGAUUACCACUCAGCUAAGAAGCAAGUCAAAACUAACACUCAAGCUGCUGCAAAGAAUUUGGCUUUCUGAAACGAAACACAGGAUUGAUCUGCACUAGAGAUGUUAUAAAGAGCUGCCAAGUUUAUUUGACAUUUAGAAAUUGUGUGUGCAGGCUACAAAUGCUUGAGGGCAUCACAUGGAUUGAUAUAUUCAUGAAAGUACUGAUGGAGAGUCUUAUAAACACAACAAAACUCACAUUGGAAUGAGGUUAAACUGGAAGCCCCUUUGCUAAGGGUCACUGGCCUUAAAGGUGUUGGUAAGCAAAUUUGGAAAUGUUACAGGAAUUGGCUAAUAGCAGCAACUUACCCAUGUGCAUUUAAAAGAAUACUGCAUAUGAGAAAGCAGCGAACAUAAGGUUAAACAGCUGUACAAAUGUACUGCAAAGUCUGAACAAGUCAAAAUAUGAUCAGGACCAUAUGAUGUUUCCGAUGUUGUAUUUUUUACAUCUUUAAUGUACAGCUUGUUCCCUAUUUCUAAGGGUGAUGGCUUAUCCAAUCAAUAAGCUUCACCAGCUAAACUCUACAGAUCUGAUUUUUUUUUUAAAAAAGUUCCCAACCCAGCCUGAUUUUUAAGGUGCAAAAUUGUGAUUACACUUUUGUACCCACAACUAUUUGCGGACAUAAAUGGUGGUAUUUAUGUGGCAAAUUCUCUGCUGCUGUCAAUGGACACAGCUGUAGUUACUUCAGCUGAGUUUUGCCCAUUUCCAGGGGCAGCGAAUUUGGUCCUAUGUGUCUGUCUACUUGAUAGUGUUCAAAAAUCACAGUAUUAACAUGUGACUGUUGUAAAUGUAUGUCUGCAAAUUUGCACCCAUGAAAGCAGGGAUCUUAUGUUAAAAUCAUUCCCUAUAUCUGCUGGGACACAUAUAGCCUUCAUUUUCACCUGUGCAACUCCAUUGAGGCCAAUGUGUGUGUGAAAAUGAGAGCAAUAUUUGCCCUGUUGGGCAUAGUGUUUUGUAAUGCAGGUUACUAUGGAGACAUGGGGCUAGAGUCACAAAAAUCCUCAGCAUCAUCACGCCUAACUUUUAGGUCCCUAGAAACUCCCUAGGGUUCACAAAGCCUGAGUUCAGGGCCUAGGCUCCCUGUACAGUGAAUGGAGGGCGAUGGGCGCCUCAGAGUCGGAUUCACAAAAGCCAGCAGGCUAGGCAGCUCCUCACCCAGGCUAGCCAUUGGGAGAUGCCAAAAUUAGGGGGGGAGAGAGUGCUAAGCCUGAUCCCUGUCAGUGAGAUGGGUGUUGAAGUCUGGGCUGCAGGGAGGUACCUCAUUUGGCUUGCGAUUCUCAGGUGCAAACCCUCUCUUAGGGUUAUCUACACUGCUUUAGCAAGAUGUUGGUAGUUAAGGGGGAAGACCACCCACAUAACGUUGAGCCCAGUGGUUUGGGCACUCAGAGGUGGUAGGUCCCAGUUCAAAACUCUUCCACCCCCCACCCACCCCAUUAGUGAAGGUGGGGCUAGAACUGGGGGCUCCCACAUCCCAGGUAUAAGCACCCUAACCACUGGGCUAAAACAUUGAAAGGAGGGCCUCCUCUUUGCCCACCUCCAGCCAUUUUGUGUAUGCUCAUGUGUAGGGGCCCAAUCCGGUAGGCAAGCUCUGAAGAUGUUUACCAGAUUGUGCCCUGGGGGAAAGUUAGGCAGAGGAACUCCUGUCUUUCCUCGGUUCAUGCAUCACUCUAGCGUUAAGUAUCUGGACGCCUGGUGUGGGGCUGCAGUGUGCAUGUUCAUAGGUGCCCAGGGAAUAUUUACUGCUAAAAGUUAGGUGCUGAGUGAGUUUAGGCACCUCCAGGAUUUGGUGGCAGCUGGGACUGGGAUGGGAUUUGUGAAUCCUAUUGUUGCCUGAUUCUGGGAUUUAGGCACCUAAAGUGGCAGUUAAGCUCCUAAGUCCUUUUGUGAAUUGAGCCCAUUGUUUUUUUAUUUUUAUUUUUUAAGCCCCCAUCAUGGUGUUUCCAUUACUAUUUAGGAUUUUUGAACAAGGAGAGAAAAGGUUUAAUAGCACUCGCUCAUCCAUCCCUCUUGGCAUUGCAUGGAUUAUUAUUUCUAGGCGUUUUUAUACCACAGACACUUCCUUUCUAUUUCCCUUCUCCACUCCACCCACCAAUUUGGAUAAUUGGGUUUUAUGGCUCUUGGCACCCAGUGUGUAAAAUGUAAAGAGAAACCUACAAAAUAUACAUGCUACAUUAUUCUUGUUCAUAUGGACUUGAGUAAGCUGCUGUGUUUCACAAACGAGUUUGGAAAGACCGCUGUGAUUUGGGCAUUUUAGAAAUUACACAAUGAUUGAGAACUGCGUUUUUGCCUAAAAUCUAAAUAUGUACAGUAGAUUUUGUCUGGGUAUAUAUAUACAUAUUUGUUUAUGCUGUACACAUGGGAUGCAGUUUAUACAUGUUCACACAGAUAUUACAUGCAACACCAAGACAGGAUAAUUAUUUUUCCAUAGGAGCAGUGAUAUUUAGAUGUAAACAACAGUUCAUUAAAGCUACCAAAAUGUACCCAAUUUUAAUGAGAAAAGGCAGUGAAUUAAGCCUGUUCCUUUAUUUGCUGAGCUACGGGCUCUCAGCAUGUUGCAGGCAGAGGUGCUGAAACUAGGAGUACGGGGGUGCUGCUGCCCCCUGGCUUGAAGUGGAUUCCAUCAUAUACAGGGUUUACAGUUUGGUUCAAUGGCUCUCAGCACUGCUACUAUACAAAUUGUUCCAGCACCCCUGGUUGCAGGGUCUAUAUUUUCAAUUCCAGGCAAGUGAGAGAGUCAGGAGAAAUUAUUUCUCUUUUUAGUCUUUGACUUGGGAACUAUGGAAACAAAGGGCCCAAUCCUGCUCCUACUGAAAUCAAUGGGAGUUUUGCGCAAUGGAACCAGGAUGAGACUCCAAAUGGAGACUAUUGUGAGUUAACUCAGUGUGUGUGUGUUUGUGUGCUCAGCAAUGCUGUUACAAUAGAGAUGGCAUGCUGGGAAAUAGUAUGUUUUCUUACUUUUGGUGAUGACUAAGACAAAUCUAUUUUUUUAAGUGUGUGAUUUUCUCUGAUUUGAAAAAAAUUGCACAACCUUAUGUUUUCUGUGUGUUUGUGUGUUUUUAAAAUCAGACCGACGACACUGUGUACCUUCUUGUUUUGUAGUGAUGUGCUAAGCAUUAUUUUCUGAUCAGUAUGACAGGAGCCGCACACAAAAAAGCCUAUACAUCUGUAAUGCGCAAGGUUACCAUGAUGUUGCCUUGUUUUCUUAUAGGGGAAAAGGGAUACCUCUUUUUACAGAGGAAAAUUAUGAUAGCUUGUCAGGGAUUGAGCUUGUCAAGGUGUGAGACUGCAGGUUAGAAUUUAGCCCAUCCAAAUUUCUAACUUCUCUGCCAGUUCUGAUUGUGAAUAUUAGCUCAGAAUGUUAUAGUUAAUAAAAAAAUCUGCUGGCAAGAUGCAGGGAUAUUUUGUGGCUCUAUAUAUAUUUUUAAAGUUUCUUAAUUACACAGUAUUGUAAAUGAGAGUACAGUGUACAGAAAGAAAAAGUUUUCUUUUCUUACUGCUCCACUCCAUGGUGGGUGCAGUUAGGAUGUCCUGCUACUAAGUAAUAUAGGACCAGAUGCUCAGCUAGUGUGAAUUCUUGUAGAUCACUGAACUGCGAUGGAGCUGUGCCAAUUUAUACCAGCUGAGGACCUGGCCAGAGGUAUUUUGCACUAGUGCUUUGUGUUUCUACAGACCAAAAGUUGAUGACAAGCAGCUAAUCAACUGCACACAUAAGCUGCCUCCUCUCUCUGUACACAAAUUUGUAUGGGUACUGCAAUAGCAGCCCUACAGCUAUUAGCCCUACUGCUGAGAAUGACAACAGGCCUCUGAUUGGUUGCUGAGGUGUGUCAUGUAUGGGAUAGAGAACAGACCAUUCAAAAUCUUCUUUUAUUCAAUAGUUAACAUUCUGAUGGAGAAGUAUUUUAACAAGGAAACAUGGAGUCAACAUCUUUUUUUCCCUUUUAUCCUGUAAAUUGCACUUUCCUAUCAAACACAAUUUAGAAUUUUCUUUACAGAGACAUUUCAGUAGUAAUACCUAAUAAUAAUACCUAGUACGUAGCAAAAAAUAAAAUAAUUAAAUGGGCCCAAAACAUUCCCAGUCUUUAAAAGUAUGGAAAAGGAGGCAGACCCACUUGAAGUUAAGCAGUAUACUGUAGCUUUAGUAUAUGUUUAGUUCCAUUUAAGUAUACAGUGCUCUGAGUGAACUAAAUAUAAUACAGUAAUGAAGCUGUUCGAGGCAUAUUUGCUGACCAUUGGCUGACACAGACCAACAAUCAAAUCCCCACGUAGCACUUUUUCAUGAUGAGACGCAAGGUGCUGUGUUCUGGAACUGACAUAAAUUGGGCAUUAAAGAGGUGGUAGCAGCACUGUUUCAAGCUAGCUUAACUGUACUUCUGAUUACACAGCAGAGGGGGAACUGCAUCAGGAAUCCAUGAUAUUUAAUUGUUUUAAUCUCCACCUGUUAAUAAAUAGACAGCUAAUCCCUCUGAGCUCCCUCUCUCAGGUAUAGAUCAUUUCAUUCAAGUCCUUUGGCAGCAAUUGAGGAACUGGGGCCACGUCAGCAAGAUAGCCAGGAAAAGUGACACUAGAUGCUUUCCGUUAUUUUCAGGAUAGUACAAAUAGAGCUUUCUUCUACAACUUCUCUGCAGACUAUCAUAGGGACCCUUCUGUAGGUCAGUAUUGUUUUUCUGGAGAACCUAUGGAUGAGUUACGGUAGACACCUAUACUCCACCAUUAGCUUUUGGAUCUUUAUUAAUGGGUCGGUGGAGGGACUUAUUUAUUCCAAAGCUUGUGAACUGCUGUGAGAAAAGUGGAUUUUCUCCAUUCAAAUGGCAAAUCUAAUGGGUCAACAAAGUUCAUUCUGAAAUUCAGAGGGUUUAUGUUAUACAAGGUACUUUCUUUCAGGUAUUAAUUUUUCUUUGCUUGGAAUGUUGUAAUACUGUAGGUUCAAUGGAUUUCAAUGUAAGAAUUGUUGACGUGUGAAGUGUUUGGUUGUCAACUGUGGAUAUUUGCAAUAUCAUAAAUAAAAACUGGUUCAUUACUUGUGUUUUUUUACAGCAAA